UUUUAUAGACUAAAAUACCCCUAAUACUUAAAUGGAAUUACAAGUCUGUCUUUUAAAUGGAAUUUCAAUAUCCAGCUCGCCCCUUGACCAUCACGAUUUAAGUUUCAUACCCAGCUAAUCGGGUACUUGGGUAUUGAAUCCUCUAGCUUCAUUUAGGCGUCCCCAAUAUGUCAGUUGGAGGGUCGUUAUUCUCCUCUAGCAUCUCCGUCGGCGAUUCAGCAGCCGCUCCUUCCUCUAGCUCGUCGUCCACGCCUCCCUGCUCCUAGAUCAACCGCCUCGUCCCAUUCAACAACUCAUUCCGGUAAGCUUUUCUAUCAUAUUCUAUGCUUCUCCGAUGAUGAGACUAUCCUGCAUCUAUAUUUGAAUUAUGUAUAAUGGACGUUUGAGGGGCCGCUGGAGAUAGGGCGUCGGUGAUCGUAAACAGAGAUCCCAUGAGGGGCCAGAGGUUAUGAGAAGAAAAUCUCCUUGCGGAGCCGGAAGAUUUAGAAGGAGAUUAGUCAAAUUGUUCAAUGGUAUUUCAUCGGUUAUACUGAUAUUUAAAGCCAUUAUUAUAGUAUAUGUUUUAACAACUUUAAUGAUAAGUAAUUAUAACAACCACGUCUUAGUCAUAAUCGAACUCUGAUCGUCGGGUGGAUCUGCAUUAUCGGGUCGGCCACGUAGGUCCUGGGUCAUCGGGCUGAUGGGUGUCCUUCUCCUCCUCCUCAAGACUCCCUACCAAUGUGGUUGAGCUAACUAUCCCCAAGUCUUGACUUAACUGAUUGUGAAUGCGAGUUUGGUCUAAAGCUACUGUGACAUUGUGCUUAUAUACAAGAAUUGUAUGGACUGAUUUCAGUAACAUAUUGAAUGACAUCCUCUUGACAAAUCAGGGAUUAACGUAAGGGUAUUGUCAACUUAUAAAACGAUAUUUGCCCUUCAAAAAAAUGAGAGAAUUUCAGGUGCGGACCAUCAUAUCUCCAUCCUACACGCUACACCUGGCACACCUUUUCUUGUUUGUCAUGGAGAUUAGCAUGUUUCUUCCUUGGUAUAGUGCGCUUUUCUAAUCCUG
rnacentral:lncRNA from 1 species